rnacentral:rRNA from 1 species
UACGUAGGUGGCAAGCGUUAUCCGGAAUUACUGGGCGUAAAGCGCACGCAGGCGGUCUUUUAAGUUUGACGUGAAAGCUCCCGGCUUAACUGGGAGAGGUCGUUGAAGACUGGAAGACUUGAGGCAAUGAGAGGGGUGUAGAAUUCCCGGUGUAGUGGUGGAAUGCGUAGAUAUCGGGGGGGAAUACCAGUGGCGAAAGCGGCACCCUAGCGUUAGCCUGACGCUCAUGUGCGAAAGCGUGGGGAGCGAACGGGG